rnacentral:lncRNA from 1 species
AGGCACCAUUGUCAUUCAUUGGAAAGUUUCUGUAGAGUUCCCCAUGUCUGUUAAUGUUGACUAGUGAGUAGUCUCUGCCUCUAGUUUGUCUCCAUGUCAUUCUAUGCGUUUCCUCUUUCUUUUACCUACUCAAAUCCAGUGUAGUGCAGUCUUAGACAUGAUUUCCUUUCUUUUUUUACCUUAUGAAAUGACAAAUCCAUCUGCA